CAAUAGCGUAUAUUAAAGUUGUUGCGGUUAAAAGCUCGUAGUUGGAUUUCUGUUGAUAACGGCCGGUCCGCACUAUGUGCGUGUAUCAGGUUCGGUGUCGGCAUCCUCGUGGGGAUCGUUUCUGUGCUUGAUUGCAUGGGGCGGAAUUCACGACUUUUACUUUGAGGAAAUUAGAGUGUUCACGGCAGGCAAUCGCUGGAAUACGUUAGCAUGGAAUAAUAAUAUAGGACCUUGGUUCUAUUUUGUUGGUUUCUAGAACUAAGGUAAUGAUUAAUAGGGAUAGUUGGGGGCAUUUGUAUUAACACGUCAGAGGUGAAAUUCUUGGAUUGUGUUACGACAAACUACUGCGAAAGCAUUUGCCAAGGAUGUUUUCAUUGAUCAAGAACGAAAGUAAGGGGAUCGAAGACGAUCAGAUACCAU
rnacentral:rRNA from 1 species